AUUGAACGCUGGCGGCAUGGCUAAAACAUGCAAGUCGAACGCCUGUAGCAAUACAGGAGUGGCGAAAGGGCGAGGAAUAGAUUCCUAUGUACCUCAAGGUCGGGGAUACCCCGGAGAAAUCCGGAUCAAUACCCGAUGUGGUCGAGAGAUCAAAGGUUUACCGCCUUGAGAGCAGGGAAUCUCCUAUCAGGUAGUUGGUGAGGUAAUGGCUCACCAAGCCGAAGACGGGUAGCGGGUGUGAGAGCACGGCCCGCCGCAUCGAGACUGAGACACUGCUCGGACUCCUACGGGAGGCUGCAGUAACGAAUCUUCCGCAAUGCGCGAAAGCGUGACGGGGCAAUGCCGCGUGCAGGAUGAAGCCCUUCGGGGUGUAAACUGCUGUCAGGGUGCAGGAAUGAAAUGACCAUACCCAAAGGAAGCACCGGCUAACUCUGUGCCAGCAGCCGCGGUAAGGCGUAUGUGU
rnacentral:rRNA from 1 species